AUUGAACGCUGGCGGCAUGCCUUACACAUGCAAGUCGAACGGUAACGCGGGGCAACCUGGCGACGAGUGGCGAACGGGUGAGUAAAGCAUCGGAACGUGCCCAGUAGUGGGGGAUAGCCCGGCGAAAGCCGGAUUAAUACCGCAUACGACCUAUGGGUGAAAGGGGGGGAUCGCAAGACCUCUCGCUAUUGGAGCGGCCGAUGUCAGAUUAGGUAGUUGGUGGGGUAAAGGCCUACAAAGCCGACGAUCUGUAGCUGGUCUGAGAGGACGACCAGCCAGACUGGGACUGGGACGCGGCCCGGACUCCUACGGGAGGCAGCAGUGGGGAAUUUUGGUCAAUGGGCGCAAGCCUGAUCCAGCCAUGCCGCGUGCGGGAAGAAGGCCUUCGGGUUGUAAGCCGCUUUUGUCAGGGAAGAAAUCCUUUGGGUUAAUACCUCGGGGGGAUGACGGUACCUGAAGAAUAAGCACCGGCUAACUACGUGCCAGCAGCCGCAGUAA
rnacentral:rRNA from 1 species